rnacentral:lncRNA from 1 species
CUUGGCAACUGCCCCAGAGCUCUGGCGUCACUUUGGCCUUGGUGCAGGAUUCCCCUGAUGCCAUCAUUUGUCUAGACACUGAAGAGAAGCAGAGUGAUGUGGUCAGACGAGGGCAAAUCCUAGUGGGAACAAGGAGCAGGAGCUCUUUAGAGGGACAAUGUUGCCGCUGAGAUACAAGUAAAACUAGCGUGUGCUGCAGUGGGUGAGAGGACAGGAAAAACAGUGGGGGCUCAACAAAAGCAGCGGAUGUAGCAGGUUCUUAGGCAAGGCCCCCACUGAUGAGAGCCUCUGGCUGUGGGCCAGGCUCAGGUGGCCACAGAAUGCUAACAGCACAGCUCCCAGCUGAACCGCAAGCCUCUGCCCCACCGUACCCAGCUCAGAGCAAAGCAGAAACUUGAAGCAGACACUGCUCCGCAAAAGCAGUGCCCCAAAAGAUGCUGGGGCAGGUGCCAUGGGCAAGGCUGUCUCCUUCUGGCCCUGCCAUCCUGCUGCUGGUGCUCUGUACCACAGUUGUGCUCCAGUGUAUUCUCCCUGUGGUGUCACAUGCAAGACGAAUCAUCUUCUGCAAGGAUGGGAUGGAGGCGUACAGCCAGAAAGCCCAUCAAGGGCAGCUGAGCUACUCCGUCGUCUUGAACAUCACAUCAAGAAACGCAGGAAGAUAUACAUGUGGGUACCAGCAGACUAAUAACAUGAAACACAUGAGGAGCUCUGCCCUCAGUGCUGGCCGCAACCUGGAUGUCCCAGGCAAUGUGGUGAGUUCCCAAGCAAGUCCAUCACCCCCAGGUGAGUG